AGCUAUGUAACAUAUUGGUAAUGUUUAAAAUUGCAAAUUUUAAAAAAGCAGUUCGAUUCUGCUCAUAGCUU